AUUGAACGCUGGCGGCAGGCCUAACACAUGCAAGUCGAGCGGAUGAAGGGAGCUUGCUCCUGGAUUCAGCGGCGGACGGGUGAGUAAUGCCUAGGAAUCUGCCUGGUAGUGGGGGAUAACGUCCGGAAACGGGCGCUAAUACCGCAUACGUCCUGAGGGAGAAAGUGGGGGAUCUUCGGACCUCACGCUAUCAGAUGAGCCUAGGUGGGAUUAGCUAGUUGGUGGGGUAAAGGCCUACCAAGGCGACGAUCCGUAACUGGUCUGAGAGGAUGAUCAGUCACACUGGAACUGAGACACGGUCCAGACUCCUACGGGAGGCAGCAGUGGGGAAUCUUGGACAAUGGGCGAAAGCCUGACCCAGCCAUGCCGCGUGUGUGAAGAAGGUCUUCGGAUUGUAAAGCACUUUUAGUUGGGAGGAAGGGAAGUAAGUUAAUCCCUUGCUGUUUUGACGUUACCAACAGAAUAAGCACCGGCUAACUUCGUG
rnacentral:rRNA from 1 species